CUGGAAAAGUGUUGAGGAUGAUGAAUGCGUACUGUGGAGAAUGAUGAAAGCCUGAUUCCACCUAAUAUAAAACUAUGUGUCCCAAAUCCAAACUAUAACAUAGACAUGCUCCUUUGUACAACAUGCAUCUGCCAAAUGAAUACAUAUGAAUGUGAAUGUAUUUGGAAAAGAGUCACCUCUAUCCUGAAAGUUUGGUUAAGUUUAGGCAACGAAAACUACUUGGUUAAGGUUGAGGAAAGAUCACAGCCUUAGUGUGGUUAUAUGACCCGUGUCAGUGGAUUUAAA